rnacentral:rRNA from 1 species
AUUGAACGCUGGCGGCAGGCCUAACACAUGCAAGUCGAGCGGAUGAAGGGAGCUUGCUCCUGGAUUCAGCAGCGGACGGGUGAGUAAUGCCUAGGAAUCUGCCUGGUAGUGGGGGAUAACGUCCGGAAACGGGCGCUAAUACCGCAUACGUCCUGAGGGAGAAAGUGGGGGAUCUUCGGACCUCACGCUAUCAGAUGAGCCUAGGUCGGAUUAGCUAGUUGGUGGGGUAAAGGCCUACCAAGGCGACGAUCCGUAACUGGUCUGAGAGGAUGAUCAGUCACACUGGAACUGAGACACGGUCCAGACUCCUACGGGAGGCAGCAGUGGGGAAUAUUGGACAAUGGGCGAAAGCCUGAUCCAGCCAUGCCGCGUGUGUGAAGAAGGUCUUCGGAUUGUAAAGCACUUUAAGUUGGGAGGAAGGGCAGUAAGUUAACACCUUGCUGUUUUGACGUUACCAACAGAAUAAGCACCGGCUAACUUCGUG